GGGAGAGGAGCACCAGGAAGGCACUGGGCACAGGUGUUCAUUUCUAUAACCUGGUCUUCUCCUGCCCUUGCUGCCACCCCACCCUAUUCCAAUCCUGGAAAGCAGCAGCACUGUAGCAGCUAAGAGGUUGGCACAGCAGCAGCAGCAGCGAUCUUCAGGUGCUGUGACUGCUGAUACCAUUUAAUAUUUGUUUAGCCCACUCCAUAUCCGGAGCACUAUUUAAGUCAAGGUACCUGAUUUAGAUCAUUCAAAUUGUGUUGCUUUACUAAUAACACAGUUCUAUGCAUAUCCCCUUAGAAAUAAGUCCUAUUAAAUUCAGGUUACAGGUAGGUAGCCGUGUUGGUCUGACGUAGUCGAAACAAAAUAAAAAAAAUUCCUUCCAGCAGCACCCUUAAAGACCAACUAAGUUUUUAUUUUGGUAAAUAAAAUAUACCAAAAUAAAAACUUA